UUCAACGGAGAGUUUGAUCCUGGCUCAGGACGAACGCUGGCGGCGUGCUUAACACAUGCAAGUCGAACGGUAAGGCCCUUCGG
rnacentral:rRNA from 1 species